rnacentral:lncRNA from 1 species
CAAGGGCGUAGGAACCGGGGGGGACGGGUGGGACGUGUCCCCUCCAAUAUUGGACAAACGCGCAUUUGUCCCCCCCAAUAACAUGGAGAAGAAAAAGAUUGAUUUUGAAAUAUUUGACUCGCGAGCUUUUAUUUUGAAAGACACCGCGGACUUCUCUCCGACACAGCCCCUCCCCUCAGGGAGCAGGCUGGCUGAGUGAAGCAGGAGUCAGAGCCGGGGCAGACGCAGGUGUCGGAAAGACGGCAGCAGCUCAGUGAGUUCCUCUCAUGGGCAAAAGAAGAAAGAAAGGAAUUAGACCAGAGGAAGUUCAGCAGGAAUAUGAUGAAGAAGGUGAGACAGGCAGCGCCCGACCUGCUGAGGGUGAGACAGGGAGCACCAGACCUGCUGAGGGUGAGACAGGGAGCACCAGACCUGCUUUGGACCUGUUGAGGUGCAGGUAGGUGCUACAAUGAAGAGAGAUUUUAGAUGGUUGAUGAUGAGAGGAAGAUUCGAGCAUAGCAAGUGAACACGACUAAAUAAUACUAUAACAACCAUGAUUUUAAUGUUGCACUAGUCGUCCAAUAGUAUUUUUACUUCUUAUUCAUGACCACUGUUUCUAUUUUAGAGAUCAGAUGAAGUUCAGCAGGAACCAGUUGAGGGUGAGACAGGGAGAGCCAGACCUGCUGAGGGUGAGACAGUGAGAGCCAGACCUGCUGAGGGUGAGACAGUGAGAGCCAGACCUGCUGAGG